UAGUCUCAAGUUCCUUCCUGUUUAACCUUUCGCUCAUCUUUUUGUGUCUCUAAGCUAUAUUAGCCCUCCCUUUAAACCUAAUUUCCUCACCUCCUGCUUGAGUAAAAACCAAAACAGAAGCAUUCUUUUAUCUCCCAAUAGGAUGGCAAGAUCAGUUUGGAAUGAAGCUGGCUCACCUGAUGCCCUCAAUCCAAGAAUAAGGGGGCUUCUUUUUCUCUGUUGGGAAGUGUUAUUUUCACUAGGAGAGGAUGGACAUGAAACAUUUUGUGAACUGGGAAGCCGCAUCUGUUCAGUAUAAGUUCCCAUUCUGGGAGCCGUUUAGGAUAAGAGAUGGAAGGUGAAAAGGAGGAAGAGGAGGAAGUGGAACUCUGGGGGAUGGGAUGAGAGGGACAAGGGAACUACUUCCAGGACUAUAUCUGACCUGGAGCUGCAAGGAGACCAUGACGUCAGCAAGACCUCAACCGUUAUGCAAAUUAUAUUGACAAGACACUCCCAAGCAGGCCUUUCCAGCUGGAUGCCUGGACACCAAAUCCAGUUGAAGUUUCCCCAGGUGGUUAGUAAUGAUGGCUUCUAUCCAACUCUCACUUUAUACCAAAUACUUGGUUUAAGCACUUUUCAUGUAUUAACCCAUUUAAUUUUCACAACAGCCCAAUGAGAUGGGUACAAAUGAGGAAACUGAGGUGCAAAGAUAAGUAACUUACCUAAGAUCACUAUUAAGUGGCCAGAAUUACCACAUAGACCAGAUUCUGCAUUCUCAUUCUAUUAUAUUGGAUGCUGUGAGGGGACACCACGCAUCUUAAUAAAGUAGCUCUUUUAGCCUGAUGUUGCUGGUAUUUCAGGCCUUGUAAUUCUCACUGCUAAGUCUUAAAAAAAAUUUUUUUGGCUACACUGGGUCUUAGUUCUGGCAAGGAUCUUUGAUCCUUGAGGCAUGCAAAUUCUUAAGUUGCAGCAUGAGGGAUCUUGGGAUUCCCUGACCAGGGAACACACCCAGGCCCCUGCAUUGGGAGCGAAGAGUCUUGGCCACUGGAUCACCAGGGAAAUCCCUGUUAAGUCUUUCUUAAUUUGAGACCUAAAUAUGGAAAUUUCUCAAAGUGUAGGAACUGUCCCUAUUACUCAGCACACAUUUUUUUACAAGAUUUUAAAUCUAGGGACCUCUGAAGUCAGAUCAGUUUGAGAAACCCUCUUGAGUUAAAUGUGCUUUUCUCUCGGUCUAUGACCUCUAAGCCUAGAAUCCUGACUCAGAGAAUCCUGAAUCAGAGGGGUUCUAGACUUAGAGGUCAUAGACCGAGAGAAAAACAUGUUUAACUCAGAGGGUCUCUCAAACUGAUCUGAUUUCAGAGGUCCCUAGAUGGUGACUUCCCUUGUAGCUCAGUCGGUAAACAAUCUGCCUGCAACGCAGGAGACUGGGUUCGAUUCCUGGGCUGGGAAGAUCCCCUGGAGAAGGAA